AUUGAACGCUGGCGGCAGGCUUAACACAUGCAAGUCGAGCGGUAACAGAGAGAAGCUUGCUUCUCUGCUGACGAGCGGCGGACGGGUGAGUAAUGCCUAGGAAUCUGCCUAGUAGUGGGGGAUAACUUGCCGAAAGGUAAGCUAAUACCGCAUACGUCCUACGGGAGAAAGGAGGGGACCUUCGGGCCUUUCGCUAUUAGAUGAGCCUAGGUCGGAUUAGUUAGUUGGUGAGGUAAUGGCUCACCAAGACCGCGAUCCGUAACUGGUCUGAGAGGAUGAUCAGUCACACUGGAACUGAGACACGGUCCAGACUCCUACGGGAGGCAGCAGUGGGGAAUAUUGGACAAUGGGGGGAACCCUGAUCCAGCCAUGCCGCGUGUGUGAAGAAGGUCUUAGGAUUGUAAAGCACUUUAAGUUGGGAGGAAGAGCAGUUAACUAAUAUUUGACUGUUUUGACGUUACCGACAGAAUAAGCACCGGCUAACUUCGUGCCAGCCGCCGCCGUAAUAC
rnacentral:rRNA from 1 species